UACUGUUCCCACUAUGGUACUGUUCCCACCAGGUUACUGUUCCCACUAUGGUACUGUUCCCACCAGAUUACUGUUCCCACUAUGUUACUGUUCCCACUAUGUUACUGUUCCCACUAUGGUACUGUUCCCACCAGGUUACUGUUCCCACUAUGUUACUGUUCUCACCAGGUUACUGUUCCCACUAUGGUACUGUUCCCACCAGGUUACUGUUCCCACCAGGUUACUGUUCCCACUAUGGUACUGUUCCCACCAGGUUACUGUUCCCACCAGGUUACUGUUCCCACUAUGUUACUGUUCCCACCAGGUUACUGUUCCCACUAUGUUACUGUUCUCACCAGGUUACUGUUCCUACUAUGUUACUGUUCCCACUAUGUUACUGUUCUCACCAGAUUACUGUUCCCACUAUGUUACUGUUCCCACCAGGUUACUGUUCCCACUAUGUUACUGUUCUCACCAGAUUACUGUUCCCACUAUAUUACUGUUCCCACCAGGUUACUGUUCCCACUAUGUUACUGUUCCCACCAGGUUACUGUUCCCACCAGGUUACUGUUCCCACUAUGUUACUGUUCCCACUAUGUUACUGUUCCCACUAUGUUACUGUUCCCACUAUGUUACUGUUCCCACUAUGUUACUGUUCCCACUAUGUUACUGUUCCCACCAUGUUACUGUUCCCACUAUGUUACUGUUCCCACUAUGUUACUGUUCCCACUAUGUUACUGUUCCCACCAUGUUACUGUUCCCACUAUGUUACUGUUCCCACUAUGUUACUGUUCCCACCAUGUUACUG
ensembl:lncRNA